UUGUGGAGAAUAAGCUGAAUAAGAUAAGUCUUCAUUUGGCCACAAGCAUCAACAAUCUUGCCUACUGCCAUUUGUCAGCCAAGACGACAGAUUCUGCAAUGGAGCUGAAAAGAGACUUUCAAUGCCGCUAAAAAAGAACUGCAUCUGCCAAUAUAAUCAACUUAAGAUGAGGUCAUAGUGUAUCAGAGUGGGUCCUAAAUCCAGUGACUGGUGUCUUUAUAAGGAGAAGGAGAACUGGACUCAGAGACACACAGGGGAGAAGGCCACGUAAUGACUGAGGAAGAGAUUGGAGUAAUACAAGGCAAGCCAAGUAUCAGCAACCAUGAGAAGCUAGGAAGAGGCAAGGAAGGAUUCCUCCCUAGAGCUUCCAGAGGAAGCAUAGCCCUGCAACAGCUUGAUUUCAGACUUUUAACCUUCAGAACUGUGAAAGAAUAAAUUUGUGUUGUUUUAAGCCACCAGGUUGUGGUACUCUAUUAAGGCAGCCCUAAGAGACUAAUAAAAUGCUUAAACAUUUUUUUUCCUGAGAACCUAGAGUACAUAUUCAAU
rnacentral:lncRNA from 1 species